rnacentral:lncRNA from 1 species
AGAAAUCUUAAAAACCCUCACUAGACCUAAAAUUCUACUUUCUGAGACCUUGACCCACUUAAACCUCAAUAUCCUUCAAUUCAACCGUUAGAUCGAACUCAAAUUCACAACACAUAUUGAACAAAACUAUAAACAUAAACCCACAAAAUUUCACUUGUAGAUCUAUAUCAAAACUCUUGAAAUUACCCAAAAUAUAAACCCUAUUUUAUUUCAUAAAAUCCAAGUCAUCCAAAACAAACCUUGACUUUGCAAAG